rnacentral:rRNA from 1 species
CCUACGGGAGGCAGCAGUCGAGAAUCUUCCGCAAUGGACGAAAGUCUGACGGAGCGACGCCGCGUGCGGGAUGAAGGCCCUUGGGUUGUAAACCGCUGUCAGAGGGGAUGAAAUCUUCGGAGGUACUCCUCCGAAGUUGACAGAGCCUCAAAGGAAGCACGGGCUAAGUACGUGCCAGCAGCCGCGGUAACACGUACUGUGCGAACGUUAUUCGGAAUCACUGGGCUUAAAGGGUGCGUAGGCGGCGAUUCAAGUCAGAUGUGAAAUGCCUGAGCUCAACUGAGGCAUUGCGUUUGAAACUGAAUUGCUAGAGUAUCCUAGGGGUGUGCGGAACUGCCAGUGGAACGGUGAAAUGUGUUGAUAUUGGCAGGAACACCGGAGGCGAAAGCGGCACACUGGGGGAUAACUGACGCUGAGGCACGAAAGCCAAGGGAGCGAACGGGAUUAGAUACCCCGGUAGUCUUGGCCGUAAACGAUGAGCACUGGGCGGGAGGGGGUUUCCCUUUUCUGCCGUAGCGAAAGCGUUAAGUGCUCCGCCUGGGGAGGUAGUGGUCGCGAGGCGUGAACGUUAAAGUAGAAGUUAGUACGGCGUGAGACGUAGACCGAACGGACGACGACGAGGGAGGUUAGGG